rnacentral:rRNA from 1 species
ACGCCUGCGGCUUGCUACACCGUUUGGGGAAUGGCUCGGCUCGAGUGCUGAUGAAGGCCGUGCCAAGCUGCGAUAUGCGCGGGGUAGGCGCAAGGAGCCUGUGAACCCGCGAUUGCCGAAUGGGACUUCCUUCUCCUUCGGGAGAGAUCCGUGAGGAUCGGAUACGAGGGGAAUUGAAACAUCUUAUUACCCCCAGGAAAAGAAAUCAACCGAGAUGCUGUUAGUAAGGGCGACCGAACACAGCACAGGGCAAACUGAAUCCUCCUGAGAAAUCAGGCGGAGAUGUGGUGUUGAAGACCCUGGGUACUUCCUAACCGUCCAACUCGAAGUCGUCUGGAACGACGCACCAUAGAGGGUGAGAGUCCUUUAGAGGAACGAUGGAAGGAAGAUUCCGGGAGUUCUUGAGUAACGUGCACCGGAUAUUGCGCGUGAAUCUGGGAGCCAUUUGCUUCCAACCCUAAAUACAACUCGAGUCCGAUAGUGCAGUAGUAGUGUGAACGAAAGCUGAAAAGUACCCUUUGCGGGAGGUUAAAAGGGCCUGAAACCAGACGGUUAUUUGCUUACAAGGCAUGGAAGGGACGAAGUGCGCAAGCAUGGACCAGUGUCUUGUUAUCCGUUUUGAAUAACGGGCCAGGGAGUUCGGACCAAUGGCGAGGUUAAGUGGUUCAACCACGAAGCCGAAGGGAAACCGAUAUGUCCGCAGUCCGCAAGGACGAGGGACGAGGUGUGCUCGCCUGUAGUCAUUGGUGAGAGACCCGAAGCCAGUUGAUCUAUGCGUGGCCAGGUUGAAGCCUAUGGAAACAUGGGUGGAGGACCGUACCGGUGUUGAGGUGCAAAUCACUCGGAUGAGCUGCGUAUAGGGGUGAAAGUCCAAUCUAAACUGGGUAUAGCUGGUUCCCCCCGAAACUACUCGCAGGUAGAUCUCAGACGAGACGGAUGAUGAGGUAGAGCGACCGAUUGGGGGCUUAGGGGGAGAAAUCCCUCGGUCCCCUGUCAAACUCCGAACUUGUCAUCGUCGUAGACUCUGGGAGUGAGCGCGUGAGGGGUAAGCUCCACUCGCGAAACGGGAACAACCGGAACUUGGGUUAAGGUCCCUAAGUGUUGGCUAAGUGUGAACGGCUAAAAGGAGUCGACAGCCAGAAACAACUGGGAUGUGGGCUUAGAAGCAGCCAUCGUUUAAAGAAAGCGUAACAGCUCACCAGUCGAGGUUAUCGGCCCUGAAAAUGGACGGGGCUAAGCCAAUCACCGAUACCCAGGGACACCGAAAGGUGAUUCAGUAGGGGGGCGUCGGGCGCGAGCGGAAGCUCGGUGGUGACAUCGAGUGGAUCGCGUCCGAAUGAGGAUCCUGGUGGGAGUAGCAGCAAAGAGUGGUGAGAAUCCACUCCGCCGUAGGGGCCAGGGUUCCUCGACAAUGUUCAUCAGUCGAGGGUUAGUCGGUCCUAAGGCGUUCCUUAACCGAGAACGUCGAAUGGGAAGCAGGUCAAUAUUCCUGCACCAUCGCAGUCUUUGCGCAAGCAUUGACGCAUGGGGAUAUUUCGAACAGACUCGUCUGUCUGUCCAAGUGUAUAGGCCGAUGGAGAACCGUAAUGGUGAGAAGUUGGCAAAAGCAUGAGUGGGAGGGCGAAAGCCCCCUUCGGAUGAUUCCUUGUGCCAGUGAAAAGAUGUUUGUUUACAACUGUGGUGUCCGUACCUAGAACCGACACAGGUGCCCCUGGAUGAGUAGUCCAAGGCGUGACGGCGUAAUUGAGGCGAGGGAACUCGGCAAAUUAGCCCCGUAACUUCGGGAUAAGGGGUGCGAGACAUGAGGAUGUCUCGUCGCAGUGACUAGGGCGCUCCGACUGUUUAACCAAAACAUAGGUCGCAGCAAGUUCGAAAGGAUGUGUAUUGCGGCUGAAGCCUGCCCAGUGGCGGUAUCUGAAAGCUCUGUACAAGGGGACGAAGGACCGCUAAACGGCGGGGGUAACUCUGACCCUCUUAAGGUGCAAUUAUAUAAUUAUGCGCCUUAUUAAAAUUCGGCUAUAUGCUGGAACACCUGAGAAUCCUACACUACUCGAUAAUAAAUAAGAAAAUAAAAAUCGAGUGAAAAUGUGAUAGGUGCAGGCAAUCAGCAGGAAAGACUGAGAACGAAGCUCAGAAUCCUCAGAGACUGUAAGCCGGACACUGAGAACAGCAGUGAAGAUACAGUCCGACCCUCAUGGCGACAUGAGGAGAUCAUGAGAAAUCAUGAUCCGCCUUCAAAAGAAGGUCUUCAAGCAACAGAGGUGAGCGUAAUACCUUGUCGCUUAAUUGGCGACUUGCAUGAAGGUCCAACGAGGGCGCCACUGUCCCCGCCUCGAAGCCGGUGAAACCGAUUAGAAUGGCGUGAAAUCCAUUCUCUUCCAGCUGAAAGCGAAGACCCCGUGGAGCUUUACUGCAGUCUGCGGUUGUGGUAUGAGCUUGAAUGUGUAGGGUAGGCAGGAGACGUUACCAGGGCCUGCCGCAAGGUAGGUUCCGAGUCAAAAGUGAAACACUGCCCUUUCGAACUCAUAUCACUUACAUUUCCGAAUGGACACCCGUAGAUAGGCAGUUUGGGUGGGGCGCCACGCCCUCAAAAAGAUAACAAGGGCGCCCAAAGGUCAGCUCAGGUAGGUCAGAAAUCUACCGAAGAGUGCAAGGGCAAAAGCUGGCUUGACGUGGUUCAGCCCAACAAUGAACCACGAUACGAAAGUAGGGCCUAGCGAACCACUGUACCUCACAAAUGGGGGUCAGUGAUUACAGAGAAGUUACCCCGGGGAUAACUGAGUCGUCUCCAGCAAGAGUUCAUAUCGACCUGGAGGCUUGCUUCUUCGCUGUCGGUUCUCCCUAUCCUGGCGGUGCAGCAGCUGCCAAGGGUGGGGUUGUUCGCCCAUUAAAAGGGAUCGUGAACUGGGUUCAGACCGUCGUGAGACAGGUUUGUUGCUUUUUGCUGGAAGUGUUUUGAUGCCUGACGGGAAGGUCCUUCUAGUACGAGAGGAACGGAGGAUCGUCGCCGCUGGUUUAUCAGUUGUCCGACAGGGCAACGCUGAGUAGCUAAGCGAUGGAGGAUAAGAGCUGAACGCAUCUAAGCACGAAACCUCCCCGAAAAAGAGGCAUCUUACAGCCGCCAUAAUUGAUGGCGUUGAUAGAGUCGGGAUGUAAGUACCGAGGUUCGCCGAGGUAUUCAGUCCACGACUACUAAUCGCUGAAGUCGCAACCAA